GGUCAGUGAUGUGAAGUAAAAGGUCUGAUGCUCACUGUCCAUCCCAGCAGCCCUUGGGCUCCCAGGAGCCCCUGCUCUUGUCCUGUCAUGCUCUAGUUGUGCAUGUUGGGUCCAGGGGCUUCUGACAGCUUGGAUAACCUUUCGACACGCGUCUCCCAGAGACCAAGGAGUCACGGUGAUGAUGGAGAUCCAACACGGCCAGCUUUUAAGGAGUGUCGGGGGCUGGGAUUGGCGUUGGAGCCUGAUCUCAAGUUUUCAAGCUGAGACC
ensembl:snoRNA